CGUCGUCUUCCAAGAAGAAGGUCAAGUACAUGAAGGAGACGUCCACGUCUACGUUGCCCCCAUACUUCCGGUGCUCCUCCACCGUGUCUUUCCCCCCGGAAAAUGCAUACUUGUUGAUCUGUGAGCAUUCGUCAUCCAAAAGGUUGAGGAAGAAAAAUCGGUCCCAAUGACAGCUUGCAUCUCGAAAAACGAGAAGCUAAUUUGAUCUCACCAAUCAGUUUGUCAUAAUCGACGCCUUUCGCGUUGUUGGUGGAGACACUCCAGGGGUUAACUUCAUCAUCACCCUCAUCAUUGUUGCCAUCUGCUGCCAGACCGUUUUCUGAG